UGGGGAAUAUUGGACAAUGGGCGAAAGCCUGAUCCAGCAAUGCCGCGUGAGUGAUGAAGGCCUUAGGGUUGUAAAGCUCUUUUACCAGGGAUGAUAAUGACAGUACCUGGAGAAUAAGCUCCGGCUAACUCCGUGCCAGCAGCCGCGGUAAUACGGAGGGAGCUAGCGUUGUUCGGAAUCACUGGGCGUAAAGCGUGCGUAGGCGGUGACUCAAGUCAGAGGUGAAAGCCUGGAGCUCAACUCCAGAACUGCCUUUGAAACUAGGUCGCUAGAACAUCGGAGAGGUGAGUGGAAUUCCGAGUGUAGAGGUGAAAUUCGUAGAUAUUCGGAAGAACACCAGUGGCGAAGGCGGCUCACUGGACGAUUGUUGACGCUGAGGCACGAAAGCGUGGGGAGCAAACAGG
rnacentral:rRNA from 1 species